UUGACCUCAAAUCAGGUAGGACUACCCGCUGAACUUAAGCAUAUCAAUAAGCGGAGGAAAAGAAACUAACAAGGAUUCCCCUAGUAACUGCGAGUGAAGCGGGAAGAGCUCAAUUUAAAAUCUGGUGGUCCUCGCGGCCGUCCGAGUUGUAAUCUGGAGAAGCGUUUUCCGCGUCGGACCGUGUACAAGUCUUCUGGAAUGGAGCGUCGUAGAGGGUGAGAAUCCCG
rnacentral:rRNA from 1 species